GCGGACGGGUGAGUAACGCGUAGGAAUUUACCAUGUAGUGGGGGAUAACGUUCGGAAACGGGCGCUAAUACCGCAUAAUCUCUAAGGAGGAAAGCGGGGGAUCUUCGGACCUCGUGCUAUAUGAUGAGCCUGCGUCGGAUUAGCUAGUUGGUGGGGUAAAGGCCUACCAAGGCGACGAUCCGUAGCUGGUCUGAGAGGAUGAUCAGCCACACUGGGACUGAGACACGGCCCAGACUCC
rnacentral:rRNA from 1 species